GACGAACGCUGGCGGCGUGGAUUAGGCAUGCAAGUCGAACGGUAUCAUCCUUUCGGGGGUGAGAGAGUGGCGAACUGGUGAGUAACACGUAGGUUAUCUACCCUCAAGACGGGGACAACCCAGGGAAACUUGGGCUAAUACCGGAUGUGAGCAACUUUUAGUUGUUUGAAAGGUGGCGUAAGCUGUCGCUUGGGGAUGAGCCUGCGUCCUAUUAGUUAGUUGGUGAGGUAACGGCUCACCUAGGCAAUGAUAGGUAGGCGGCCUUAACGGGUGGUCGCCCACACUGGGAUUGAGAUACGGCCCAGACUCCUACGGGAGGCAGCAGUCGAGAAUAGUCUACAAUGGUCGGAAGACUGAUAGUGCGACGCCGCGUGAACGAUGAAUCCCUUCGGGGUGUAAAGUUCUUUUAUAUGUGAGCAGUGCUUCUUAUAUUAACAGUAUGGGGAAGAGAUAUUAGCAUAUGAAUAAGCAACGGCUAACUCCGUGCCAGCCAGCCGCGGGUAAAG
rnacentral:rRNA from 1 species